AUGAAAUUUCAGGUGAAAAAAAAAAAAAGACCAUUGGUACCUGGAUUUAAAUCCUUAGAUAAACAGGCCACCUUUUGGGAAGUAGUUUCUGUUUUUAGUAACCAGCUAGGUUUUGAUGGGCUGAAUCCCUCGGACACUGUAAGAAUGAGUCCAGGCUUGGACAUUCACAGCCUCUUAGGAUCGGAUGGAACUCUUUCUCAUGUAGACCAGGAAAAUGAGUCCCAGAGAGGCAAAGAGACUCACCUAAAGUCACACAGCAAAUUGGAGCCAGGAGAACUCCAGAUGGCUCUGCGGGUGCCUUUCGGUUUAUCCUAUUUCCCUCAGGUUUCUGGAGAGAAAACUCUUCAGUGGGGGGCAGUUGUGACCCUGCUCACUCCAACUCCAGGCUGGGUAGUCAGAAGGUCUAUAGAGCAAUGGGGAGUGGGGGUUGCCCCCUAUGUGUUAUCAGCAGGAUACCACAUCCUGCUGAUUCAGGCCUCUUGGGAAGCCCUGAUUUUAUCUAGGAAACUCCCCAUGGUGCAGUACACAGAGGGUCUGAGGCCCUGGCUUCUGAUCCCAGAUCAGAUCCUGACUUGAGCUGGGCCCCUGUCCUCUUGGCCUGCAGAAAUGGUAAGCCAAGCAGAUGGUUUCUAAGUCCCCCACUGGGACUGGAGAUGCCAGGGCUGGCUUCUCUGUGUUCUUAGCGUCUCAGCAUAGUUUGGAUCCACCGCUCUGUGUGUUCAUCCCGCCAACCUGAGUGUGGCCACAGUCGGGGUGUGUGGGGGGGGGUGACAGUGGGCCGUGACCGCAUCAGACCCCAGUUUAGUGGCCAAAGAUUAGGGUGGGGAAGCUGGAAACAGCCUCACGCUCACCCUCACUGGAAAGCCGCUUAGAUUCACUGAGUGACCCGUCUCCCAGCCAGCACCACACCCUGGAAUCUGCCUCUUUGAUUUCCCAGUGCUGGGUGAAAUCAACUAUGGUCAAGCCGUGCCUGCUUCCACCCCAGGCAAAGGCUCCAGCUUGAAACACCCCCACCCCCAACCCCUGGCAGGUCACUCAGCCUAGGCAGAGGAGAAUGAGACUUGGGCCUCAUUAUCCCGAACACGUGUGGCCUGGCCCUCAGCCUCCAAAAGCAGG
rnacentral:lncRNA from 1 species